rnacentral:rRNA from 1 species
CACGUAGGGGGCAAGCGUUGUCCGGAUUUAUUGGGCGUAAAGAGCUCGUAGGUGGUUCGGUAAGUCGGGUGUUAAACCCCCAGGCUCAACCUGGGGACGCCACUCGAUACUGCUGUGACUAGAGUCCGGUAGGGGAGCGUGGAAUUCCUGGUGUAGCGGUGAAAUGCGCAGAUAUCAGGAGGAACACCAGCGGCGAAGGCGGCUCUCUGGGCCGGUACUGACACUGGGGAGCGAAAGCGUGGGUAGCAAACAGG